UACGUAGGGGACCGAGCGUUGUUCCGGAUUCAUUGGGACGUGAAGAGCUCGGUAGGCGGCUGCGUCAAGUCGAAUGAUGAAACUCGAGGCUCAACCUCGAGCCUGCGAUUCGAUACUGGGCGGCCUGAGAGUCGUGGUAGGGGGAUCUGGGAAUUCCUGGUGUAGCGGUAGGAAUGCGCAGAUAUCAGGAGGAACACCCGGUGGCGAAGGCGGGAUCCUGGGCCAGUACUGGACG
rnacentral:rRNA from 1 species